UGGGGAAUUUUGGACAAUGGGGGCAACCCUGAUCCAGCAAUGCCGCGUGAGUGAAGAAGGCCUUCGGGUUGUAAAGCUCUUUUGUCAGGGAAGAAACGGUAGUAGCGAAUAACUAUUACUAAUGACGGUACCUGAAGAAUAAGCACCGGCUAACUACGUGCCAGCAGCCGCGGUAAUACGUAGGGUGCAAGCGUUAAUCGGAAUUACUGGGCGUAAAGCGUGCGCAGGCGGUUGUGUAAGUCAGAUGUGAAAUCCCCGGGCUCAACCUGGGAAUUGCAUUUGAGACUGCACGGCUAGAGUGUGCCAGAGGGGGGUAGAAUUCCACGUGUAGCAGUGAAAUGCGUAGAUAUGUGGAGGAAUACCGAUGGCGAAGGCAGCCCCCUGGGAUAACACUGACGCUCAUGCACGAUAGCGUGGGGAGCAAACAGGAUUAGAUACCCUAGUAGUCCCUGAGCGGGCUGGCAAGGCGCAU
rnacentral:rRNA from 1 species